rnacentral:rRNA from 1 species
AACAAACGCUGGCGGCGUGCCUAAUACAUGCAAGUCGAACGGGGAAAGCUUUCGGGUGAGUACUAGUGGCGCACGGGGUGAGUAACGCGUGGAUAAUCUGCCUUCGAGUCGGGGAUAACUAGUCGAAAGAUUAGCUAAUACCGGAUAAGACCACAGGAACUGAGGUUCUAGGGGUUAAAGGUUUUUCGCUUGAAGAUGAGUCCGCGUGAGAUUAGCUAGUUGGUGAGGUAACGGCUCACCAAGGCAACGAUCUCUAACUGGUCUGAGAGGAUGAUCAGUCACACUGGAACUGAGACACGGUCCAGACUCCUACGGGAGGCAGCAGUAGGGAAUAUUGCACAAUGGAGGAAACUCUGAUGCAGCGACGCCGCGUGAGUGAUGAAGGCCUUCGGGUCGUAAAGGCUCUGUCGCAGGGGAAUAAC